rnacentral:lncRNA from 1 species
CCAGCAGAAGGGGGAGUGUCAGGGGCGGGCUUCUCGUGUUGCGCUAUGGAAAAAUCGAUGGGGAUACUGUAAUAAUGUGAGGGGUGCUUCAUGGAAACAGGUGCUAUCCAGUUAUUGAAAACAUGAUCUAACCGAAAGGGUCGCCAAGGGAGGAAAGAAGACAUACGUUGAGUGCUGACACCCCAUGAUGGCCAGAAGGGAUGGGUGCAUUCCAGAAUGUUAUUAAGAGGAGAGAUGGGCCUGCUGUUCUCUACUUGACAACAGGCAUCUGUGCAAGGGCUGGAUGCCUUGGGAGGCCAAUGGAGAUUCAGACACAGCCCUGACCAUAACUUCCCCUGGAAACUGGUUUCAGACGGUGUUUUAGAGUAUCAAUAACAUAUCUAGCACCAUUUGAAAUCAGUGUUCUUGGUGUAAGGAGGACACCAUUUAAAGCAGGAUGGAUGAAUGCAUACAGUAGGCUUACGGCAGUCUCCUAGUUUCGCACACAUUUGGCUAGGUGGUACUGGUGGGGGUUAACAUUAUUUGUUGACUAUCGCAUGACAAUAAAAACAUUCUAUUCCGUGUCCAAUUAUGUAACAAUUAUGUAAAUGUCACACUGGAAUAUGUUAUUCUUGGAAUCGCAGCGCCAGCACAACACACCUCCCCAGUGACUGACAGCAACCCCAGGAUCACACCUCACCGCCUCACAUCAUGACCCCUCUUGCCAAGGCUGACUGUUUUCUUUUGGUGUUUAGAGUCUCUUCUAUUUCUAGCACCAUUUGAAAUCAGUUACAAUGUAGGGGGAAUAUCAUCUGAACAGAAGAUGAAAAAACACCCUUGGUUCCUCCACACAAGUUCUCUUUGAUCAAGUCACAUCCUUUUUGCUCAAAUCUCAAGUAACCUGAGCUAGCUCGUUGUAGGUAGUCAAAUGUGAUCAAACGCACAUCCUCGGUGCAGGGCCCGAAAGAAGUUGGUAUAAAAGAAAUAGAGCCCGCACACUCAUACUGUAGGCUCCACCAUGUACCUUUAUUAAUAAACAAACAACAUUUAGAUCCUGCGAGGAUCUUUGUCAGGUAAUUUCACCAGAAGUGUACCACACCCAUAUUUAUAGACACAAGACAUGCACCAAUUAUAUGGCUGAGCGAUUAGUGCUUUUUGAGGUCCGUUCGGUUUCGGUUCAACUAAGAAAAAAAUAAUCAUGAUUUUCAAUUUCGAUUUUAUAUAUAUAUAUUUUUUUUACAUUAAAUGCACUAUGCAUUAUGUGGGUUGAAUGAUGUAAAAACAAUACAAGUCCCAUGAUGGUCAUGACUGCCCAUGACUGCGUAUCACUUAUUAACCAUCAGUUAUUCACAUUAUUUUAAAGGAGCAAUCAGCAGUUGCUACGUCCAUUUUGGGACUUAUAAAUAAAUUAUAUGUACCCAUUGAUUCUUGAAGAAUAUAACUUAAAUAUGCCUCAUGAGCUUAGUUUAACUGUCGUACCCCAUCAGAACCCAAAAUAUAAGCUUGUUUUACGCCAACCUUGUAAACAAAGUAUACGUAAACAAACAUUAUAUAGACUAAAAACAUGGUUAAACUAUCAUUUUGAUAUCAUGGAUGGUCAGUCUUGCAUCCAUAGCUUUGUCUAUGCAUUUGAGAGAGGUUACAUGUCUCCUGUCCCAUCCCUAGGCUUCUUACAACAACAACGGGUGAGGAGGAGCUUUGUUUUGUUUCAACUGCUGAUUGCCGUUUUAAUAAAAGAUUUCAGCUGUGUAUAUUACAUUUUUAUUAUUUGAUGACUUUAUUAUUUAAUUCCAGGUAUACAGCUCAUCUAUUUAGCACUGCUGCCUAUGCCUUCCUACAAAAAAAAAUAAAUAAAUAAAA